AUUGGACAAUGGAGGCAACUCUGAUCCAGCCAUGCCGCGUGCAGGAAGACUGCCCUAUGGGUUGUAAACUGCUUUUAUACAGGAAGAAACACUCCCUCGUGAGGGAGCUUGACGGUACUGUAAGAAUAAGCAUCGGCUAACUCCGUGCCAGCAGCCGCGGUAAUACGGAGGAUGCAAGCGUUAUCCGGAAUCAUUGGGUUUAAAGGGUCCGUAGGCGGAUUAAUAAGUCAGAGGUGAAAUCCUACAGCUCAACUGUAGAACUGCCUUUGAUACUGUUAGUCUUGAGUUAUUGUGAAGUGGUUAGAAUAUGUAGUGUAGCGGUGAAAUGCAUAGAGAUUACAUAGAAUACCAAUUGCGAAGGCAGAUCACUAACAAUAUACUGACGCUGAUGGACGAAAGCGUGGGGAGCGAACAGGAUUAGAUACCCUGGUAGUCCACGCCGUAAACGAUGGUCACUAGCUGUUCGGACUUCGGUCUGAGUGGCUAAGCGAAAGUGAUAAGUGACCCACCUGGGGAGUACGUUCGCAAGAAUGAAACUCAAAGGAAUUGACGGGGGCCCGCACAAGCGGUGGAGCAUGUGGUUUAAUUCGAUGAUACGCGAGGAACCUUACCAGGGCUUAAAUGUAGUAUGACAGGUUUAGAGAUAGACUUUUCUUCGGACAUAUUACAAGGUGCUGCAUGGUUGUCGUCAGCUCGUGCCGUGAGGUGUCAGGUUAAGUCCUAUAACGAGCGCAACCCCUGUUGUUAGUUGCCAGCGAGUAAUGUCGGGAACUCUAACAAGACUGCCGGUGCAAACCGCGAGGAAGGUGGGGAUGACGUCAAAUCAUCACGGCCCUUACGUCCUGGGCUACACACGUGCUACAAUGGUAGGUACAGAGAGCAGCCACACCGCGAGGUGGAGCGAAUCUACAAAACCUAUCACAGUUCGGAUCGGAGUCUGCAACUCGACUCCGUGAGGCUGGAAUCGCUAGUAAUCGGAUAUCAGCCAUGAUCCGGUGAAUACGUUCCCGGGCCUUGUACACACCGCCCGUCAAGCCAUGGAAGCUGGGAGUGCCUGAAGUCCGUCACCGUAAGGAGCGGCCUAGGGUAAAAUUGGUAACUAGGGCUAAGUCGUAACAAGGUAGCCGUACCGGAAGGUGCGGCUGGAACACCUCCUUUCU
rnacentral:rRNA from 1 species